GAUGAAGAACUAGCGAGAUGCGAUACGUAGUGUGAAUUGCAGAAUUCAGUGAAUCAUCGAAUCUUUGAACGCACAUUGCACCUCUCGGUAUUCCGGGAGGUAUGCCUGUUCGAGCGUCAUUUGUACCCUCAAGCUCUGCUUGGUGUUGGGUGUUUGUUCCGCCUCUGUGUGUGAACUCGCCUCAAAACAAUUGGCAGCCGGCGUACUUGUUUCGGAGCGCAGCACAUUUUGCGAUCCAGAUCAACGUACAGCGGCAUCCAAGAAGCCUUAUUUAACGCUCUUGACCUCGGAUCAGGUAGGGAUACCCGCUGAACUUAAGCAUAUCAAUAAGCGGAGGA
rnacentral:misc_RNA from 1 species